AGCAGCCGCGGUAAUUCCAGCUCCAAUAGCGUAUAUUAAAGUUGUUGCAGUUAAAAAGCUCGUAGUUGAAUUUCGGGAUCAAUGCGUCGGUCGUGCCUUCGGUACGUACUAGCGUCAUUGAUUCCUCCCUUCUGAAGAACCGUGAUGUCAUUAAUUUGGUGUUACGGGGAAUCAGGACUGUUACCUUGAAAAAAUUAGAGUGUUUAAAGCAGGCUAACGCUUGAAUACAUUAGCAUGGAAUAAUGAAAUAGGACGUUCGAACCUAUUUUGUUGGUUUCUAGGAUCGACGUAAUGAUUAAUAGGGAUAGUUGGGGGCAUUAGUAUUCAAUUGUCAGAGGUGAAAUUCUUGGAUUUAUUGAAGACUAACUACUGCGAAAGCAUUUGCCAAGGAUG
rnacentral:misc_RNA from 1 species